GACGAACGCGGGCGGCGUGCCUAAUACAUGCAAGUCGAACGAACCGCGACUAAGUGCUUGCACUAAGUCAAGGUGAGUGGCGAACGGGUGAGUAACACGUGGGUAACCUACCUCAUAGUGGGGGAUAACAGUCGGAAACGACUGCUAAUACCGCAUAGGACAUAGGAUCACAUGAUCCAGUGAGGAAAGGUGGCGCAAGCUAUCGCUAAGAGAUGGACCCGCGGUGCAUUAGCUAGUUGGUAGGGUAAAGGCCUACCAAGGCGAUGAUGCAUAGCCGACCUGAGAGGGUGAUCGGCCACAUUGGGACUGAGACACGGCCCAAACUCCUACGGGAGGCAGCAGUAGGGAAUCUUCCGCAAUGGACGCAAGUCUGACGGAGCAACGCCGCGUGAGUGAAGAAGGUCUUCGGAUCGUAAAGCUCUG
rnacentral:rRNA from 1 species